rnacentral:rRNA from 1 species
GGCUCAGGAUGAACGCUGGCGGCGUGCCUAAUACAUGCAAGUCGAGCGAACGGACGAGAAGCUUGCUUCUCUGAUGUUAGCGGCGGACGGGUGAGUAACACGUGGAUAACCUACCUAUAAGACUGGGAUAACUUCGGGAAACCGGAGCUAAUACCGGAUAAUAUUUUGAACCGCAUGGUUCAAAAGUGAAAGACGGUCUUGCUGUCACUUAUAGAUGGAUCCGCGCUGCAUUAGCUAGUUGGUAAGGUAACGGCUUACCAAGGCAACGAUGCAUAGCCGACCUGAGAGGGUGAUCGGCCACACUGGAACUGAGACACGGUCCAGACUCCUACGGGAGGCAGCAGUAGGGAAUCUUCCGCAAUGGGCGAAAGCCUGACGGAGCAACGCCGCGUGAGUGAUGAAGGUCUUCGGAUCGUAAAACUCUGUUAUUAGGGAAGAACAUAUGUGUAAGUAACUGUGCACAUCUUGACGGUACCUAAUCAGAAAGCCACGGCUAACUACGUGCCAGCAGCCGCGGUAAUACGUAGGUGGCAAGCGUUAUCCGGAAUUAUUGGGCGUAAAGCGCGCGUAGGCGGUUUUUUAAGUCUGAUGUGAAAGCCCACGGCUCAACCGUGGAGGGUCAUUGGAAACUGGAAAACUUGAGUGCAGAAGAGGAAAGUGGAAUUCCAUGUGUAGCGGUGAAAUGCGCAGAGAUAUGGAGGAACACCAGUGGCGAAGGCGACUUUCUGGUCUGUAACUGACGCUGAUGUGCGAAAGCGUGGGGAUCAAACAGGAUUAGAUACCCUGGUAGUCCACGCCGUAAACGAUGAGUGCUAAGUGUUAGGGGGUUUCCGCCCCUUAGUGCUGCAGCUAACGCAUUAAGCACUCCGCCUGGGGAGUACGACCGCAAGGUUGAAACUCAAAGGAAUUGACGGGGACCCGCACAAGCGGUGGAGCAUGUGGUUUAAUUCGAAGCAACGCGAAGAACCUUACCAAAUCUUGACAUCCUUUGACAACUCUAGAGAUAGAGCCUUCCCCUUCGGGGGACAAAGUGACAGGUGGUGCAUGGUUGUCGUCAGCUCGUGUCGUGAGAUGUUGGGUUAAGUCCCGCAACGAGCGCAACCCUUAAGCUUAGUUGCCAUCAUUAAGUUGGGCACUCUAAGUUGACUGCCGGUGACAAACCGGAGGAAGGUGGGGAUGACGUCAAAUCAUCAUGCCCCUUAUGAUUUGGGCUACACACGUGCUACAAUGGACAAUACAAAGGGCAGCGAAACCGCGAGGUCAAGCAAAUCCCAUAAAGUUGUUCUCAGUUCGGAUUGUAGUCUGCAACUCGACUACAUGAAGCUGGAAUCGCUAGUAAUCGUAGAUCAGCAUGCUACGGUGAAUACGUUCCCGGGUCUUGUACACACCGCCCGUCACACCACGAGAGUUUGUAACACCCGAAGCCGGUGGAGUAACCUUUUAGGAGCUAGCC